rnacentral:rRNA from 1 species
GACGAACGCUGGCGGCGUGCCUAAUACAUGCAAGUCGAGCGCAGGAAACCGUCUGAACCCUUCGGGGGGACGACGGCGGAAUGAGCGGCGGACGGGUGAGUAACACGUAAAGAACCUGCCCAUAGGUCUGGGAUAACCACGAGAAAUCGGGGCUAAUACCGGAUGUGUCAUCGGACCGCAUGGUCCGCUGACGAAAGGCGCUUCGGCGUCGCCCAUGGAUGGCUUUGCGGUGCAUUAGCUAGUUGGUGGGGUAAUGGCCCACCAAGGCGACGAGGCAUAGCCGACCUGGGAGGGUGAUCGGCCACACUGGGACUGAGACACGGCCCAGACUCCUACGGGAGGCAGCAGUAGGGAAUCUUCCACAAUGGACGAAAGUCUGAUGGAGCAACGCCGCGUGAACGAUGAAGGCUUUCGGGUCGUAAAGUUCUGUUGUAAGGGAAGAACAAGUGCCGCAGGCAAUGGCGGCACCUUGACGGUACCUUGCGAGAAAGCCACGGCUAACUACGUGCCAGCCGCCGCCGUAAAAC